UCGCGGCUUAUCACCGGCAGUCCCCUUAGAGUGCCCAACUGAAUGAUGGCAACUAAGGGCGAGGGUUGCGCUCGUUGCGGGACUUAACCCAACAUCUCACGACACGAGCUGACGACAGCCAUGCAGCACCUGUGUUCCCGCCAGCCGAACUGAAGAGAUCCAUCUCUGGUUCUCAUACGGGACAUGUCAAGGGCUGGUAAGGUUCUUCGCGUUGCUUCGAAUUGAACCACAUGCUCCACCGCUUGUGCGGGCCCCCGUCAAUUUCUUUGAGUUUUAGCCUUGCGGCCGUACUCCCCAGGCGGACCACUUAAUGCGUUAGCGUCGGCACUGCAGGGGUCAAUACCCGCAACACCUAGCAUCCACCGUUUACGGCGUGGACUAC
rnacentral:misc_RNA from 1 species